rnacentral:tRNA from 1 species
GGGGUUGUAGCUCAGUGGUAGAGAGAGCACUUGCCUUGCAUGCAUGAGGCACUGGAUUCAAUCCUCAGCACCACA